UUGAAAAUGGGAAAAACUCUUUUCCAAAAUCCCUCAACCUAAAUUCUCUUUUUUUUUUCUUUUUCACUCUGCUCUCCUCUCCACCUUUCGACUGAAAGCUGUAGCAUACCGUUUUUUCCAUCAAUGCCCAACUCCCACUCGUCUCUCCUCUUGGUUGCGUGCUCUAGAUCUACUUCUCCUAUGCCUAUAACAACGAAGCUCGAUCUCCUUCUCCUCUAAGCUCUAGUGAUUCUCCUCUACUCAGCCUCAGAUUCUCUACUCUCAAAUAUGCAUUCUAAUCAGAUGACAAUGCUAUUCUUGAUGAUGGUGCAAGAAUUCAACAACCUUUUCCUGUUGUAACCAGGCAGAUAUUAUGCAUUAGUAGAUGUAAUGCAGAGUGUUGUAGUGCAGAACUGCAGGAUUACCUUUCUGUCUGUGGUUCUUUUAUUGUAAUAAUAUCUACUUAUAUUUACCACUUGUGAUGUGUAUAUUUUUUUAAUUUAUUCUCUUGCACUUAAAAAAGU